AUUGCUUCUCGGCCUUUUGGCUAAGAUCAAGUGUAAAAUUUCAUUUGUGCAUUACAAUUAUAUAUAACACUAUUUAUUGUGUAUGGCCUUGAUACUGAAGAACAGCUUAGCUGAAUCUAAA
rnacentral:snRNA from 1 species